UACAGAGGUCCCAAGCGUUGUUCGGAUUCACUGGGCGUAAAGGGUGCGUAGGCGGUCGGGUAAGUCUGAUGUGAAAUCUCUGAGCUCAACUCAGAAAUGGCAUUGGAUACUAUUCGGCUAGAGAGUCGGAGGGGGGACUGGAAUACUUGGUGUAGCAGUGAAAUGCGUAGAUAUCAAGUGGAACACCAGUGGCGAAGGCGAGUCCCUGGACGACUUCUGACGCUGAGGCACGAAAGCUAGGGGAGCAAACAGG
rnacentral:rRNA from 1 species